GACGAACGCUGGCGGCGUGCUUAACACAUGCAAGUCGAACGGAAAGGCCCUGCUUUUGUGGGGUGCUCGAGUGGCGAACGGGUGAGUAACACGUGAGUAACCUGCCCUUGACUUUGGGAUAACUUCAGGAAACUGGGGCUAAUACCGGAUAGGAGCUCCUGCUGCAUGGUGGGGGUUGGAAAGUUUCGGCGGUUGGGGAUGGACUCGCGGCUUAUCAGCUUGUUGGUGGGGUAGUGGCUUACCAAGGCUUUGACGGGUAGCCGGCCUGAGAGGGUGACCGGCCACAUUGGGACUGAGAUACGGCCCAGACUCCUACGGGAGGCAGCAGUGGGGAAUAUUGCACAAUGGGCGGAAGCCUGAUGCAGCAACGCCGCGUGCGGGAUGACGGCCUUCGGGUUGUAAACCGCUUUCGCCUGUGACGAAGCGUGAGUGACGGUAAUGGGUAAAGAAGCACCGGCUAACUACGUGCCAGCAGCCGCGGUGAUACGUAGGGUGCGAGCGUUGUCCGGAUUUAUUGGGCGUAAAGGGCUCGUAGGUGGUUGAUCGCGUCGGAAGUGUAAUCUUGGGGCUUAACCCUGAGCGUGCUUUCGAUACGGGUUGACUUGAGGAAGGUAGGGGAGAAUGGAAUUCCUGGUGGAGCGGUGGAAUGCGCAGAUAUCAGGAGGAACACCAGUGGCGAAGGCGGUUCUCUGGGCCUUUCCUGACGCUGAGGAGCGAAAGCGUGGGGAGCGAACAGGCUUAGAUACCCUGGUAGUCCACGCUGUAAACGGUGGGUACUAGGUGUGGGGUCCAUUCCACGGGUUCCGUGCCGUAGCUAACGCUUUAAGUACCCCGCCUGGGGAGUACGGCCGCAAGGCUAAAACUCAAAGGAAUUGACGGGGCCCCGCACAAGCGGCGGAGCAUGCGGAUUAAUUCGAUGCAACGCGUAGAACCUUACCUGGGUUUGACAUGGAUCGGGAGUGCUCAGAGAUGGGUGUGCCUCUUUUGGGGUCGGUUCACAGGUGGUGCAUGGCUGUCGUCAGCUCGUGUCGUGAGAUGUUGGGUUAAGUCCCGCAACGAGCGCAACCCUUGUUCACUGUUGCCAGCACGUUAUGGUGGGGACUCAGUGGAGACCGCCGGGGUCAACUCGGAGGAAGGUGGGGAUGGCGUCAAGUCAUCAUGCCCCUUAUGUCCAGGGCUUCACGCAUGCUACAAUGGCUGGUACAGAGAGUGGCGAGCCUGUGAGGGUGAGCGAAUCUCGGAAAGCCGGUCUCAGUUCGGGUUGGGGUCUGCAACUCGACCUCAUGAAGUCGGAGUCGCUAGUAAUCGCAGAUCAGCAACGCUGCGGUGAAUACGUUCCCGGG
rnacentral:rRNA from 1 species